UGGUGGGGUCCAGAAUAUACUCAUUCACAGCCAUAUUUAUAUUUUUGUCAUAAUAAUGCAGGUUUUUGCAAGACAAUUUGUUUUAAUUUAUUUCAUGGAACAAUCCUCUACCGUGGUUUCCUUAGUUAUUUGAUCUGCAAGAAGUGUUUGCAUAUUUCCAUUGAAAAAAUAAAUAACACAUCGACUGGGAUUUUACUCCAAUAAAAGUAUAAAAUAAGUAAACAAGGCUUCGUUAAUAUUGCUGCGUAAUGGGUCGGGUGCUGUUCCAAUUAUAUGAUUUAAGAGAUGAAAAAGCGAUAACCGAUGCUGUGAAGUACUCAAAUGUAGUUAACAACUUAGUUGGUCUAGAAUUCGAGACAAAAUUUUAAAUUCGAUGACGUGCUCGUGGAAGGUGCACGUCGCAUUGCUAGAAUCGGCAAAGAAACUGGUGUACAACGUUUGAUUGUUUGUUUGCCUUAAACGCUAGUCCCAAACCAAUGAGCUUUAUGCUUGAGGGUGGAAGCAACUUUUUGAAGAGCAAAUGCUACGGUAAAUGUGCUGUUCGGAUGUUACACAAGCUAUGGUCAAUUGCGCUAAAGAUCCCGAUCRAGCUGUUGGACCAAAGCGUUACCAGUUGAGCAAAUUAAUUGAUUGGUUCCAUCGUGUUAUGCGCAAAGAU